UACGUAGGGGGCAAGCGUUGUCCGGAAUUAUUGGGCGUAAAGCGCGUGUAGGCGGCUUGGUAAGUCUGGUGUGAAACCUUGGGGCUCAACCCCAAGCCUGCACUGGAAACUGCCUCGCUUGAGUCCGGGAGGGGAGAGCGGAAUUCCUAGUGUAGCGGUGAAAUGCGCAGAUAUUAGGAAGAACACCGGUGGCGAAGGCGGCUCUCUGGAACGGUACUGACGCUGAGACGCGAAAGCGUGGGGAGCGAACAGG
rnacentral:rRNA from 1 species